UUAACUAUUCUAAUCAACUUUCCGAGCUCGAAAUCGAGCCAAACUUCAAACCAUAAGUGAGGAACAGUUACAUAAUUUAUAUCGAGAGUGAGCGUACGUUCUUCUACCUUAAACCCUAGCCCUCAUGGCCUCAUGACAUUGGUGUCCAACAGUAUCCAAAUUUGAUGUUUUUACUGGACAAUGGCGCAUGUUAGCUCAAAUUUGAUAUUGGUGUAGAGUAAAGGAGACUAAGAUUAUCGUAUGGUAAGCCUUGAUGAACACCAUUACUAAUGAUAACCAAUUGAAUGGUUCCAUACCAACCACAUAUCACUCUAUAAUUCAAGAGCCCGUUCAUUUUGAAAAUCUUCAAAUAAAUAUGAAGUUUGUUGAACUUGUUUAAUUAUUGGCUCCAAAGUUGUCAAAUAUACUGGUGUGUUAACCCAUCUAAUAGGCUGUUUGGGCUGUACAAGAAGGUAAUAUGAUUCGGGUCCGUUCUUUUCCAGUUUUCCGGUGAGAUCACCCAAAACUUCAAAUAAAGUCGAUAUCGCCGGAAAACUUGAAUUCGACAGACUCACCGGGAAGGGAAAGUGAUCGGGGACGCUGCUGGAAGCCGCUGGAGUGAAGCCGUACGGUGCCAAACGGAGGGACGUCCGCACUUUAAGGACUGUGUGUGUAUAUAUAUAUAUGUUCUUGGUCGGAGUCGUCGGAAAGAUUAAUUGUGUACCAGGGGUAGUUGAUGAAGGUAGCUAACUAAUAAAUAUCAUGCAUGUACCAUCUGACAUAGAUUUAGCACGUAAUUUGUGAAUACUUGGCACAUAUUGCACAACAUGUUAAACAUGUACACACAUCAUACCUAAAGGAUUGUGCAGGACUUUAAGGACGAAUUUUGAUUUCCCUUUUAUGUUUUUGUACGAUUUUGAGUCAUGUGACAAUAUGAAGUAUCUGCCAAUGAAGAGAAGAUCACCUUGAUAAUCUUGUGAAAAUACGAGUGACUAUUCUAAUUAACCUUCCGAGCUCGAAAGCGAGCCAAACUUAAAACCAUAAGUGAGGAACAGUUACAUCAUUUAUAUAGAGAGUGAGCGUACGCAAGGACGGAAGCACAACAAGAGCUGUAUGGGCUACAGCCCAACCGAAAAUUGGGCCAAAAAACCCCUAGGCGUAUAUAUAUAUAUAUAUAUAUAUAUCACAGCCCAGCCCAAUGAAAAAAAAUAAAAAAUUAUACCCUUAUGGCCUUAUUCCUGAUUCCUCUCAUCAUCAGACAUCAGUCCCUCACUUUCUUCUUCGCCGAAAACUUCUCUCGACUCUCAUCCUGCUCAAUUGCUCAUCUCCUCUAUCCGUCUCAUCUUUCUCACCUUCCUACAUAUCCCAAGCAGAUUUUUUUCCUAAACCCUCACUUCCUCCGGUCCCACUCGUUACUCCUCCCUGCUCAUCUCCUCCAUCCGUCGAUCACAGGUAAUCAAUCCCAAACUUGGAUUUAAUUACAUCUCUGGCUUGCUUCUUAUUUGUUACCCUGAUUGAUCAAUGACGAAUUCGAUUUAGGAAUUAGGAGUCAAAACCAAGACAGCAAGACAUCGUCAGUUGACUCAGUUCCUCUAACUUCAAUUUAGAUAGUUAUAUGUUAUUGUUUGUUAUUUUCUUACAAUCAUUUUCGUUGUAGUUUUCAAUUUAUGAGGUUAUGUCCCCCUCAUAUGUUUUUAAUAUAAAGGCGUGAGGAUGAGCCUCCCACUGAGUUUCAAACCUCAAAAAAUAUUUUAUAAGUGUACUGUGUGAAAAUUAGCCCAACCCACUUUUGAUUCCUGGUUCUGUCCCAGAGCGUUUUGAUUCCUGGUUCUGUCCCAGAGCGUACGUUCUUCUAAGCCCUCAUGACAUUGGUGUCCAACAGAGACACCCACAUAUAUAGUGAAAAGAACGUAAAAUGAACAGGAAAAUAAAAAAGACUUUCAGAAGGAAAAGUAUUCUGUGCAUGGUGAAUUUCACAGGAACAUUGUACGUGUCCCCAGGAGCAACUGGUAAUUAACUUGGUGUUCGACUGUUCGUAUAAAGUUUGUGUAUGCCAGAUAUAACCACGUGAAGUUAAUCCUGCAUUCGACUGUGUCGACUUGAACAGUUCUUUGGCAGAAUGGCAGCAAAUUAUUUGAGUUGAGAUCAACAUGUUUUUC
rnacentral:lncRNA from 1 species